UGUCCUGAAAAAAACUAAACAGAAAAUUGGGGAUUUUGGAGGAAGAACUAGAACUCCCGAUGAAUCCAUUGACGUUAGUAAAGCGAUUGCAAAACAUAACGGCAAAAAGAAAAGGCAUGGUGACAAUGAGGUUCAGCCUAGGCUUAAUGGGGAUCAUGACAGGCGAAACAAAAAAUAAAGGAAUGAAUCAAAAUCUUAUCCAAGAGAAGAUUGUGUUAACAAGGGAGAAAAAAAUGGUCAGCCUAUAACUGGGUUGAACAUGGAGAGAGGGAUUAAUGAGCGUAAGUUGGGCAGAUAAAAGUUUUUCAUAUGCAGAGAUGUGCUUGACCUUUACUUGUAUGGUGCUAGGAGCGGUUUAUGUACAUUCCCUGUUUGAUAGUUAAGACUGUAAGGCCAUCAACAGGAAACAUCCAAAUAUUGAGAAGAAAACCUACUAGGAUGCAAAAUGAGAUGAAGCAACCAGCUCCACUGCUUGUAUUGUAUUGAAGCAACUGGGAAGCGCAACAAGAUGUCCAAUGAUGGAACAAGUAUAUCCUGGAAAGUUGAUAUCCAUAAAAGUCGAUAGCAUCAGCCGAAAUGAGUUGUUAUUGACAACUUAUAUAACUUCCGUAUAUAAUCUUUAUUCAUGUUCUAGUCUAUCAUUAAUUCAAUACAGUUUGAUGUGUUGGUCA